rnacentral:rRNA from 1 species
ANAUGCUUUUAUCGCAUGGUAGAAGUAUCAAAGCGGUUGCGGUACAGGAUGGACCCGCGUCUGAUUAGCUAGUUGGUAAGGUAACGGCUUACCAAGGCGACGAUCAGUAGCCGACCUGAGAGGGUGAUCGGCCACAUUGGAACUGAGACACGGUCCAAACUCCUACGGGAGGCAGCAGUGGGGAAUAUUGCACAAUGGGCGAAAGCCUGAUGCAGCAACGCCGCGUGAGCGAUGAAGGCCUUCGGGUCGUAAAGCUCUGUCCUCAAGGAAGAUAAUGACGGUACUUGAGAAGGAAGCCCCGGCUAACUACGUGCCAGCAGCCGCGGUAAUACGUAGGGGGCUAGCGUUAUCCGGAAUUACUGGGCGUAAAGGGUGCGUAGGUGGUUUCUUAAGUCAGAGGUGAAAGGCUACGGCUCAACCGUAGUAAGCCUUUGAAACUGGGAAACUUGAGUGCAGGAGAGGAGAGUGGAAUUCCUAGUGUAGCGGUGAAAUGCGUAGAUAUUAGGAGGAACACCAGUUGCGAAGGCGGCUCUCUGGACUGUAACUGACACUGAGGCACGAAAGCGUGGGGAGCAAACAGGAUUAGAUACCCUGGUAGUCCACGCCGUAAACG